CGCGAAUGGCUCAUUACAACAGCCGUCGUUUCUUGGAUCUCUCGAUCUACUUGGAUAACUGUGGUAAUUCUAGAGCUAAUACACGCCUUGAAGCUCUGACCUUCGGGGACGAGCGCAUUUAUUAGAACAAAACCAAUGGGGUUCGCCCCUCGGUUGGUGACUCUGAAUAACUACUCCGAUCGCACGGUCUCGCACCGGCGACGCAUCUUUCAAGUGUCUGCCUUAUCAACUGUCGAUGGUAGUUUAUGUGCCUACCAUGGUUGUAACGGGUAACGGAGAAUAAGGGUUCGACUCCGGAGAGGGAGCCCGAGAAACGGCUACCACAUCCAAGGAAGGCAGCAGGCGCGCAAAUUACCCAUUCUCAGUACGAGGAGGUAGUGACGAAAAAUAACGAGACGGAUCUCUUUGAGGCCCGUUAUCGGAAUGAGAACAAUUCAAAUCCUUUAACGAGGAUCUAGCGGAGGGCAAGUCUGGUGCCAGCAGCCGCGGUAAUUCCAGCUCCGCAGGUGUAUAUCUAUGCUGCUGCGGUUAAAAAGCUCGUAGUUGGAUCUGCGUGCUCGGAGCCGGUUGGCUCACUGAGUCCAAACUGGUAUCCGGCAUUUUAUCGGCUGGUUUUCCCUUGAUGCUCUUAACCGGGUGUCUAGGGAGGCUAGCACGUUUACUUUGAAAAAAUUAGAGUGCUCAAUACAGGCGCAAUGCCUUGAAUAGUGGUGCAUGGAAUAAUAGAAAAGGACUUCGGUUCUAUUUUGUUGGUUUUCGGAACACGAGGUAAUGAUUAAGAGGGACAGACGGGGGCAUUCGUAUUGCUGCGUUAGAGGUGAAAUUCUUGGAUCGUAGCAAGACGAACGACUGCGAAGGCAUUUGCCAAGAAUGUUUUCAUUAAUCAAGAACGAAAGUUAGAGGUUCGAAGGCGAUCAGAUACCGCCC
rnacentral:rRNA from 2 species